CACUGUACAAGUACAAAGGUCUGUUCCUCUGUUUCCUAAUGUGUGCUGGAAAACAUCUCUAACCCCAUCAGUAGCCCUUGUAUUUCAGUGGGACUUCUUUGAAAAGUAAGGGUUAUUCACUUUAUCUGAAAGAUAAUAUGAUCAAUCUAAAUGGUAGUUGCAAUCCCAAAGAACAGCCAGGAGCACAGCAAGCAGUUGAUUGUAUUUAGCAGAGCUCUCCAGGUCUCUUGAGGAGAGCUAAACUGCUCUCUAGCAGGUGAAUCAGAAUGCUAGGAAGUGGUAAGUAUCUGAAAGUUACGUUCCCCUAACCAAACUCUGACUGGCAAGCUGGGUUUAAUACUUCUAAUAUUAAUAGCAAAAAUGCAGCAACCUACUGAUUAGCUCUUAGACACAAACCAGAUACCAGAGAUCCGGUGUAUGAAAUUUCAACCGCUGAGGCUAUUGGACCAUUCUUUUUGCUCUUUCAAAUAACCUUGCCUCUCAUAAACCUGUUGCUCAUUUAAACCAAACUUUCACCUUGUGUCAGAAAUUAUUUCCAGCAUUGGAUAUGAAACAUUCUGCAAUACGUUAUGAGGGCUAGAUUCACUGCUUAAAUUAAGAAAGGCAUUUUGCUUCAAACAGAUCACUUAUUGCUACCUUCAUGCUGUAUAUGUAUUGUGAGGUUAUUGUCACAUUUCCUUCAGUUUUGAAAAUGUAAGUUGGAUUUUUCUCUUUCAGGUUGCCAUCUGGUGUAUUGCAAACAGUUUCAGAGAGUAAGAGGCCAUCUGUUAAUACUUUUUCAGGAAGCUUUUUAUAGAGCAGUGAAGUGGCAAAUCUCAAAAACACGUUGUAAUGACUUACAAGAUCUUGGUUCCAGUUGUUAUUAUUCAUAAGAGGACAUCCUGCAGGACAUCUGACAUGUGAAAGGCGUCUAGUUCAGACCUUCUGCUUUGAGUGCCAGCAACAUCAGGUUCAAUAUCUGGUGUAUUCCUAUGGCAGAAGGUUAGUUCCUCAUUCAGCUCCACAAGUACAGAGAUCUUCAACCCAGAUUUGAUGUGCUCACUCCACUGUAAAUGUUAACAGUAGAGAACACAGCUGACAAGUG
ensembl:lncRNA